AACGAACGCUGGCGGCACGUUUUAAGCAGGCAAGUCGAACGGCAGUGGGGGCAACCCCAUGAGAGUGGCGAACGGGUGAGUAACACGUAGGUGAUCUGCCUUUGGGUUGGGGAUAGCUUGUGGAAACACAGGGUAAUACCGAAUGAGCUGACGAGGCUUUGGCCAUGUUAGUAAAGGUGCUACGGCACCGCCUAGAGAGGAGCCUGCGGCUGAUUAGCUAGUUGGUGGGGUAAAGGCCUACCAAGGCGACGAUCAGUGGCCGGCCUGAGGGGGUGUACGGCCACACUGGAACUGAGACACGGUCCAGACUCCUACGGGAGGCAGCAGCUAAGAAUCUUCCGCAAGGGGCGAAAGCCGGACGGAGCGAUGCCGCGUGAUCGAUGAAGGUCGAGAGAUUGUAAAGAUCUUUUCCAACUGAGGAAUAAGUGGACCAGGGAAUGGGUUCAUGAUGACGUUAAGUUGGGAAUAAGCCCCGGCUAAUUACGUGCCAGCAGCCGCCGUAA
rnacentral:rRNA from 1 species